AACGGCCGUACCAUGCUGAAUAUACCGGUUCUCAUUAGAUCACCGAAGUUAAGCAUCAUUGGGCGCGGUCAGUACUUGGGACCACCUGGGAACACUGCGUGCCGUU
rnacentral:rRNA from 1 species